CAAGUCCCUCUGACAAAACGGGGCAGAAGAUAAAGGACUCGUGGGUGAGCUGCUUUCUUUUUGCUUGCCUCCAUUUUUUCUAGAAACUUGAUGCUUGACAUACCUACCAGUAUUACCAUUCCCGAUGACAUAUAUGUAAGAGAAUAUACCUUAUUUAUUUUCCCGUAGGCGGUCUGCCUUCACAAAUGUCAGUGUCUAGUCCUAGAAGAACCAAAUACCUCAAUUUUUGUGUUCAGUACUGUACUAUCUUGUAAAUAGAUCUGAGCAGGUCUGUUCUCACUGGUGGAAAACACAAGUUUUGGUUUAUUUAGUUGCCAACAGGUGUUUGCUGGUUAUUUAUGACCUGAAAUAAUAUAUUCCUUCUUCUAAGAAGACAUUUUGUUACAUAAGGAUGACUUUUUUUAUACAACAGAAUAAAUUAUGUGAUUUCUAUGAAAAAAAAAAGUAUCUAGA
rnacentral:lncRNA from 1 species